UUAUUGGGCGUAAAGGGCUCGCAGGCGGUUUCUUAAGUCUGAUGUGAAAGCCCCCGGCUCAACCGGGGAGGGUCAUUGGAAACUGGGAAACUUGAGUGCAGAAGAGGAGAGUGGAAUUCCACGUGUAGCGGUGAAAUGCGUAGAGAUGUGGAGGAACACCAGUGGCGAAGGCGACUCUCUGGUCUGUAACUGACGCUGAGGAGCGAAAGCGUGGGGAGCGAACAGGAUUAGAUACCCUGGUAGUCCACGCCGUAAACGAUGAGUGCUAAGUGUUAGGGGGUUUCCGCCCCUUAGUGCUGCAGCUAACGCAUUAAGCACUCCGCCUGGGGAGUACGGUCGCAAGACUGAAACUCAAAGGAAUUGACGGGGGCCCGCACAAGCGGUGGAGCAUGUGGUUUAAUUCGAAGCAACGCGAAGAACCUUACCAGGUCUUGACAUCCUCUGACAACCCUAGAGAUAGGGCUUUCCCUUCGGGGACAGAGUGACAGGUGGUGCAUGGUUGUCGUCAGCUCGUGUCGUGAGAUGUUGGGUUAAGUCCCGCAACGAGCGCAACCCUUGAUCUUAGUUGCCAGCAUUCAGUUGGGCACUCUAAGGUGACUGCCGGUGACAAACCGGAGGAAGGUGGGGAUGACGUCAAAUCAUCAUGCCCCUUAUGACCUGGGCUACACACGUGCUACAAUGGACAGAACAAAGGGCUGCGAGACCGCAAGGUUUAGCCAAUCCCACAAAUCUGUUCUCAGUUCGGAUCGCAGUCUGCAACUCGACUGCGUGAAGCUGGAAUCGCUAGUAAUCGCGGAUCA
rnacentral:rRNA from 1 species